GCUUCUAUAGGUUAAUGGUAAACCAAUCGUCUUCCACACGAAUAUUGUCGGUUCAAGUCCGGCUAGUUGCG
rnacentral:tRNA from 1 species